rnacentral:rRNA from 1 species
UGCGUAACACGUAUGUAAUCUGCCUAUAACUGGGGGAUAGCCCGAAGAAAUUCGGAUUAAUACCCCAUAGUAAUGAGGAGUGGCAUCACUUUUCAUUUAAAGCUCCGGCGGUUAUAGAUGAACAUGCGACUGAUUAGUUUGUUGGUGAGGUAACGGCUCACCAAGACUACGAUCAGUAGGGGUACUGAGAGGUUAAACCCCCACACUGGUACUGAGACACGGACCAG